GCGCCAGACUCCUACGGGAGGCAGCAGUGGGGAAUAUUGGACAAUGGGGGGAACCCUGAUCCAGCGACGCCGCGUGAGUGAAGAAGUCUUUCGGUAUGUAAAGCUCUAUCAGCAGGGAAGAAAGAAAUGACGGUACCUGACUAAGAAGCCCCGGCUAACUACGUGCCAGCAGCCGCGGUAAUACGUAGGGGGCAAGCGUUAUCCGGAUUUACUGGGUGUAAAGGGAGCGUAGACGGCAUGGCAAGUCUGAAGUGAAAGCCCGGGGCUCAACCGCGGGACUGCUUUGGAAACUGUUAAGCUGGAGUGCAGGAGAGGUAAGUGGAAUUCCUAGUGUAGCGGUGAAAUGCGUAGAUAUUAGGAGGAACACCAGUGGCGAAGGCGGCUUACUGGACUGUAACUGACGUUGAGGCUCGAAAGCGUGGGGAGCAAACAGGAUUAGAUACCCCAGUACGG
rnacentral:rRNA from 1 species